rnacentral:rRNA from 1 species
CCUACGGGAGGCAGCAGUAGGGAAUCUUCCACAAUGGGCGAAAGCCUGAUGGAGCAACGCCGCGUGGGUGAAGAAGGUCUUCGGAUCGUAAAACCCUGUUGUUAGAGAAGAAAGUGCGUGAGAGUAACUGUUCACGUUUCGACGGUAUCUAACCAGAAAGCCACGGCUAACUACGUGCCAGCAGCCGCGGUAAUACGUAGGGGGCAAGCGUUAUCCGGAUUUAUUGGGCGUAAAGGGAACGCAGGCGGUCUUUUAAGUCUGAUGUGAAAGCCUUCGGCUUAACCGGAGUAGUGCAUUGGAAACUGGGAGACUGGAGUGCAGAAGAGGAGAGUGGAACUCCAUGUGUAGCGGUGAAAUGCGUAGAUAUAUGGAGGAACACCAGUGGCGAAAGCGGCUCUCUGGUCUGUAACUGACGCUGAGGUUCGAAAGCGUGGGUAGCAAACAGGAUUAGAUACCCGGGUAGUC